CAUAGAAAGGUAUGUGAAGAAAGAAUGGAUAGAGCAAUUUCGAAACGUCUUAACUGACGGUUUACCGAUUAUGUUGUCAAACUUUCAAGUUGGAACAAACAAUGAAACUUUUCACUACUCUCCACAUACUUUCAGAAUUAGCCUCCAACCUGACACCAAAAUCAAAGUCAUUGAUAAUUUUGUUGGACCGGAACAUCAUUUUAAUUUUAGCCCUUUCACUGAUAUUAUCGAGAACAAGCUUAAGCCCAAUCAGAUUGUUGAUAUCAUCGGUUUGGUUAUACAUGUAGGGGCUGUCAUUCCACGAUUUGCAAUGAUUAAGGCUAACAAAAGACGAAUCCUUCGUCUUGAAGAUGCUGAGUACAUAUUUAAUAUUUUUAUAUCUAAUUGUAAUCACCUGUUACAAAAUUUAACGUUUUCGAUGGUA